rnacentral:rRNA from 1 species
CACGCUGUAAACGAUGAAUACUAGGUGUGGGUGGUCUCAAAAUCAUCCGUGCCGAAGCAAACGCGAUAAGUAUUCCGCCUGGGGAGUACGGCCGCAAGGCUAAAACUCAAAGGAAUUGACGGGGGCCCGCACAAGCAGCGGAGCGUGUGGUUUAAUUCGAUGCGACACGAAGAACCUUACCUAGGUUUGACAUGCAAGUAGUAGUGAAGCGAAAGCGGAACGACCCUUCGGGGAGCUUGCACAGGUGC